ACAUGCGACCAUACCCACUGGAGAACUCGAGAUCCCGUCCGCUCUCUCAUAGAUAAACCAGUGAGGGCCAGAGUAGUAGUCGGGUCGGAGACGACCGGCGAAUGCCUGGUGUUGCAUGUC
rfam:Colletotrichum tofieldiae strain 0861 Ct_v4_contig152, whole genome shotgun sequence.